GACGAACGCUGGCGGCGCGCUUAACACAUGCAAGUCGAGCGAGAACCGGGACUUCGGUCCCGGGGACAGCGGCGAACGGGUGAGUAACACGUGGGUAAUCUGCCCUCGAUUCUGGGAUAGCCCGGGAAACCCGGAUUAAUACCGGAUAGCCUUUCGAGCCUUCGGGCGCGAAAGAAAAGGUAGCUUCGGCCUCCGAUCGAGGAUGAGCCCGCGGUGGAUUAGCUUGUUGGCGGGGUAAUGCCCACCAAGGCGACGAUCCAUAGCUGGUCUGAGAGGACGAUCAGCCACACUGGGACUGAGACACGGCCCAGACUCCUACGGGAGGCAGCAGUGGGGAAUCUUGCGCAAUGGGCG
rnacentral:rRNA from 1 species